rnacentral:rRNA from 1 species
GUCGAACGAACUCUGGUAUUGAUUGGUGCUUGCAUCAUGAUUUACAUUUGAGUGAGUGGCGAACUGGUGAGUAACACGUGGGAAACCUGCCCAGAAGCGGGGGAUAACACCUGGAAACAGAUGCUAAUACCGCAUAACAACUUGGACCGCAUGGUCCGAGUUUGAAAGAUGGCUUCGGCUAUCACUUUUGGAUGGUCCCGCGGCGUAUUAGCUAGAUGGUGAGGUAACGGCUCACCAUGGCAAUGAUACGUAGCCGACCUGAGAGGGUAAUCGGCCACAUUGGGACUGAGACACGGCCCAAACUCCUACGGGAGGCAGCAGUAGGGAAUCUUCCACAAUGGACGAAAGUCUGAUGGAGCAACGCCGCGUGAGUGAAGAAGGGUUUCGGCUCGUAAAACUCUGUUGUUAAAGAAGAACAUAUCUGAGAGUAACUGUUCAGGUAUUGACGGUAUUUAACCAGAAAGCCACGGCUAACUACGUGCCAGCAGCCGCGGUAAUACGUAGGUGGCAAGCGUUGUCCGGAUUUAUUGGGCGUAAAGCGAGCGCAGGCGGUUUUUUAAGUCUGAUGUGAAAGCCUUCGGCUCAACCGAAGAAGUGCAUCGGAAACUGGGAAACUUGAGUGCAGAAGAGGACAGUGGAACUCCAUGUGUAGCGGUGAAAUGCGUAGAUAUAUGGAAGAACACCAGUGGCGAA